CACAUCAAGUAAUUAGCAGCAAAGGAUACAAACGAAGAAAAAGCCGUUUUUGUUGACUAAAAUCUUACCCGGUAAGUAAAUGGUAAUAUCGAAUUUUACCGGGUAAGUGUUUAGUAAACGGCUCCUAAGAGAAGCAAGAUGCACAUUGGAUGUCUUUCGUCUUUCGAAAGGUUGCCUCUUCUCAAGAACGAUGAAGGAUUCAUUUCACAGUUGCAAUUCAAGAAAUUUGUGUACUCCGCUCGAAUCUUGGAUUUUGAUUAAUUGGUGCCUUUCUGAUAACCUCAGCCUUCGUGGGUUAAUUGGUCUUUGUUACAAUAGAUCAAGUAGAAGAUAGUAAAGAGUUUGCAGAAUUUACAUGUAAGAAUCAUGUGCUUUUUUAACGUUCGUCUUCUGGAGCUAUAUAUGAAAUGGGUCUAUGUUGAUAUCU